rnacentral:tRNA from 1 species
GCCUCGGUAGCUCAGUUGGUAGAGCAAAGGACUGAAAAUCCUUGUGUCCCCGGUUCGAUUCCGGGCUGAGGCA